rnacentral:rRNA from 1 species
CCUACGGGCGGCUGCAGUGAGGAAUAUUGGUCAAUGGGCGCAAGCCUGAACCAGCCAUCCCGCGUGAAGGAAGAAGGCGCUAUGCGUUGUAAACUUCUUUUCCAGGGGGAGAAUUUUUCCGUCGUGACGGGAAUUGACGGUACUCUGGGAAUAAGCAUCGGCUAACUCCGUGCCAGCAGCCGCGGUAAUACGGAGGAUGCGAGCGUUAUCCGGAUUUAUUGGGUUUAAAGGGUGCGUAGGCGGAUCAAUAAGUCAGUGGUGAAAUUCUGCAGCUUAACUGUAGACUUGCCAUUGAUACUGUUGGUCUUGAGUAUGGUCAAGGUAGGCGGAAUGUGUAAUGUAGCGGUGAAAUGCUUAGAUAUUACACAGAACACCGAUUGCGAAGGCAGCUUGCUGGGCCAAUACUGACGCUGAUGCACGAAAGCGUGGGGAUCGAACAGGAUUAGAUACCCCGGUAGUC